rnacentral:RNase_P_RNA from 2 species
AUGCACAGCCAACUGCUGCAUUUUUGUAGAGGAAAAUCCGCUCUAACACUUGCUGAGAUGCAAGUAGUGUUCAUGCUAGGAUUAAUAAGCCUAGGCAAUUAUUUUAAUUGACGACUAGUGCAACAGAGACGAGCUUAUUAAAUUAAGGUGCAACGAUGUAAACUCCAUGAGUUAGAAACCCAAAUUUUGGUAGGGGAACCUAGUUAAGAUAAAUGAAUUAAGACUAGGAAGUUUUAUUCAAAACUUAGAUAAAUAGUUGGCAUUGUUUUAUUUUUAAACAAUACAAAAAGCGGUUUAUCGUG